AGAACAACCUCUCUCUCUCCAGCAGAGAGUGUCACCUCCUGCUUUAGGACCAUCAAGCUCUGCUAACUGAAUCUCAUCCUAAUUGCAGGAUCACAUUGCAAAGCUUUCACUCUUUCCCACCUUGCUUGUGGGUAAAUCUCUUCUGCGGAAUCUCAGAAAGUAAAGUUCCAUCCUGAGAAUAUUUCACAAAGAAUUUCCUUAAGAGCUGGACUGGCCACCUCAGAUACUUUUAUAGAUCAAGGAGUAAGGAACAGAAUUCAAAAGACAGACAUGGACAUCAGAAACAAAUGGCCAAGAGUUUUCCCAGCAGACAGACAGCAUGAGUUGCAGGGCGUUAGGAAAAACUAUACAGUGCUUGGUGUAAACUUUUGGAUGGUAAAGCCUUAUCUGCCUUUUCGACUGGGACAAUGGGUCCUACGAUGAUACACCAACCACUUGUGCUACCAUCUGUCAAAACUUUGGAUGGCCCUACUUUCAGGUCUUGACCCCUGAAUUUAAGAAAUUCUUAAAGACAAUGUCAAAUAUGAUCCAAGAGAAAAUGUGAUUUGAGACUGGAGACAAUUGUGCAU
rnacentral:lncRNA from 1 species